rnacentral:piRNA from 1 species
UGACUCUAGUGAUUAGGUUUGUCGAGGC